GUGCUCGCUUUGGCAGCAUAUAUGGUAAAACUGAAACAAUACAGAGAAGAUUAGGAUGGCCCCAGCCCAAGGAUGACAUGCAAAUUUGUGAAGUGCUAAAAAAUUCU